rnacentral:rRNA from 1 species
GAGUUUGAUCUUGGCUCAGAUUGAACGCUGGCGGCAUGCCUUACACAUGCAAGUCGAACGGCAGCACGGGAGCUUGCUCCUGGUGGCGAGUGGCGAACGGGUGAGUAAUGCAUCGGAACGUACUCCGUGGAGGUGGGGAUAACGUAGACGUAAAGUUACGACUAAUACCGCAUUAUUCUGUGAGCGAAGGAAAGGCCGGGGUACCGUUCGGGCCUC